rnacentral:misc_RNA from 1 species
AGGAAGCAAGGUAACAUUAACUGUGAAGAGACUUUUGGACCUAAAGUACUUCGACUUCGAGAGUUAUCGUUCUUCGUUUCUCCAUUAUUGGGGUUUAAUCGUACCUAUCGACCAUUGUUUAGAAAAAGUCUAAGUAACAAGAAUAAAAUGAACAAGCUUCCAUCAAGAAAAGUAUAUGUUGGCAAUUUACCUGAUAAUUGUGACAAAGAAAAUCUCCAAAAAUUGUUUGAGAGUGUUGGCAAGAUUGCAGAAUUUGACGUUGUGAAGAACUUUGGAUUUGUUCAUUUUGAGACAGAGGAAGGAGCAAAGCGAGCCGUUGAUGAACUAAAUGACACAGAAUUUGAAGGAAUGGUAAUCAAGGUUGAGCUUUCUCGAAGUAAAGUACGACAUAAGCCUGGAAUGGGUGACAUGACUGAGUGCUACAGAUGUGGCAAAGAUGGCCACUGGUCCAAGGACUGUCCCAAAGCUGGUCUGAAGUCUGUUCACAGUAGAGGGAGAGGCAGAGGAAGGGGAGGACCACCAAGGCCAGCAGAGCCAUAUGGCCCACCUGCUUUUAGAGAUCCAUAUGCUGAUCCAUAUGCUGACCCAUAUUUAAGAAACCGCUACUUUCCUUCUGGAUAUGACCGUUACCAUCCAUAUGGGGAUCCUUAUGACCGCAGACCUGCACCAUACAGAGAUCCUUACUAUGAAAGAGACCCUUAUGCACGACCCUCAGUUGACUACUAUGAUAGACUUGCAGCAAGGGAUCCCUAUUAUGAUUACUAUGCAAGAAGAAGAUAGCUGAGUGGCUAGAGCACUGGCAUCUGAAUCUGGAGGUGCACCUGCUUGAUACAUGUGUAGCACAGCGAAAUUCCUCAGUCGACCCAGCUGUUGGGAACGGGUAUCUGAUUCCAUAGAGGGUUGGGGAAGGUAAGGCAGAGAGAGAGAAGCUGGCCAUGAGAAGAGUCUCCUAACAUCCCAACAACCAACGAAAAAAGGAGGAUGGCCUUUACUACCUCCUUUUUUGUGUAUGUAACCAUGCACAGACAGAAAAUGCAGACAAUCUGACCACACAUUUCACCUGCCAGCCUUUAUGUAGAAGAAUUUAAAGUUUAAGCUGACAGGGAGAGAGUAUUCAAUCAAAGACAUACACUGCAUGCAUCAAAUUAAGGAGGAAAAUGGAGAAUAAAAUGAUAAGGGCCCUGAGUGAAGAUGGAUAUUGUUUGCUUACUAGUAGAAUAAUAGGUGAUUCUUCAUGCAGCAGUUCAAGAGAAACAGGUUGGUAUCCUUGCAGUGUUGGUGUACGAUUUAAUGUGAUGAGUGAACCUAUUGUUUUACAUUUUCUUUUUUCAAAAUAUGGACCUACUAUCAAUGUUAACACUAUGAGUAAUAUUGGGCUUCAAUAACUCAGCAAGCCAUUACCUAAACAUUUUAGCUUAACCAUCUUUCAAUGAUAUAAGGUGAAUACAGUAGUUGGUCUUCAGUCAUUUAAGGCUUUAGUCUGUAUACCAUUUUAUAUCUGAGGCACUGAAGGCAUGUCUUCGGACUGUCCACAUUUCUAGGCACAUCAAAGCUGUAGAUAUUUUGCUCAAGUUUCUAGGGCCAUAUCUUAACAAGUGAUAGCUAUCUGCACACAUCUACCUCACAUCAUGUGUUGUAAUGAAAAUUUCUGAUCAAAGGUUUAACGCUUGUCCUUUUUUUGUCAGGAUCUGGCCAACUGACAAAUUUAAACUAAUUCCAUUUAAUUCACCAAUCCAGUGGGCUAAAAUCGUUUGGGUGCCUGCUGCUUCUUGUUUUCUGGGGAUUUUUUGUUUUACGUUUCUUACAUCUUUGCUGCUUCAUAAAAUUUUGUCCAUGUACUUUUUUACAUUGUGAGGUAAUAUUAAAACUAUCAUUAACCAAACUGUCACUUGUUGAAAAAUUUAUUUUACCUUUGAAAAAUAACUGUGUUUUUGACAGUACACAGAUAUGAAGAAAACCAGCUGACUGAUGAUCAGUAGUGUUUUGCUUCAAACCUCAUUCAGGCAAAGUUGAUAUCUGUGCUAGCAUCGACACAUGAUGGCUGCACUUCAGGCAUAUUUAUGCUAGUGCAUGUUUGAAAGAGAGUACAGCAUGAAGAAAGCUACAUUGGCAGUUUUGAGCAUGAGAAGCAUUGCUCACAACUCAGCAGGAAGAUGCUACAUGUUUUCUGUCACUGCCCCCACCCACCCUCCAAAAAGUGCAGUAAUUAUGGCACUGACGAUUGUUGUGGAGUCCACUGCACUUGCUCAAAUGAAGCACCAUUCACUUCAGCUCAUGAGAUGUGGCAAUAAACACUUAUUGAGACUGAAAUUAAAGGUCUUGAUGACCAUUCUUACAUUAUAGCAAUGUUUCAAAUAGCAUAUCUGUGGAACAUGCUACCAUGAUCUAAAAUUACUUUCAGUAACAGAUGUCUUUUAAUUCUCUGUCAGUUUGUUGUAUUUGGACAAUCAUUGAUGUUCAUGUUAUCAGUAUUUUUUUUUUAAAUGGUCUCAUCUAGAAACUUCCACUUAAAGGCAGAACUUCAGACCAUAGGAAGAGAAUGGUUUCAUCUGUGCAAGGAAAGGUAGAAGUACAUGUGGUGCUGACAACUAGUGAUCAGUCAUCUCCAAUUACUACCCUGCAGGUGCUCCAUUUUCCCUCGCCUAGGCGAAACCAUUUUAAAAACUGCCCACAAGAAGUUCUGCCUUUAAGCUUUUAUGAUGAAAUAUGUCAAAUAAAGCAGUUUAUCAGGUCAGUUUGAAUUCAAAGAAUAUUUCAAAGGUUGAGAGAGAUAUGUUGUAUCUGGUUCACUUGAUGGCUUAUUAAAAAAUGUCAUCCUG